rnacentral:lncRNA from 1 species
GCGGAGAAGAGGACCCAGGAAAGGGUAGUAAAAAGGCAGAGACUGCUGGCAGGAGCUGCUAUGGCACCGUGAGCUGCAGCUGAUCUCCGGGGUGAGUGCAAAGGUUACCAUCACUACAGCUGUUCCACCCAGAGUCACAGAGCCUCACUCUAGGACACAAGCUAGCCUGGACUGCACGAGGACCCUCCAGCAAGAUGAAUGGUGCUUCUGAAAAUUUUUUCCCCAUUGAGGUUGUAUGGCUGAAAUUCACUUUUCUCACCAUUGACCUAUUGGACCUUGAUAACAUAGAAUUAAAAGCGAUUAAUCUGGAAAUCUCCUUCAUAAAUAAUCCUUCUUGACCCCCCAGCAUUGGUAUAUAAGUAGAGAUUUAUAAGUUCAAACCUGCAGGCCAAACUGCAGGAAGCAGUGUAUACCCAGCCUCUGGCUUUGCACAUGAGAUUAGAUGGUUA